UACGUAGGGUGCGAGCGUUGUCCGGAAUUAUUGGGCGUAAAGAGCUCGUAGGCGGCUUGUCGCGUCGGAUGUGAAAGCCCGGGGCUUAACUCCGGGUCUGCAUUCGAUACGGGCAGGCUAGAGUUCGGUAGGGGAAAUCGGAAUUCCUGGUGUAGCGGUGAAAUGCGCAGAUAUCAGGAGGAACACCGGUGGCGAAGGCGGAUCUCUGGGCCGAUACUGACGCUGAGGAGCGAAAGCGUGGGGAGCGAACAGG
rnacentral:rRNA from 1 species